GCAUGUUAUGAUUUGAGAUGGGACCCAAACAUGGUCUCUUCUCAGUGUACGGCAUGCCAUAUAAGAAGACUCCGAACCAUUGGCUGGUCCUAAUCAAUGGGCUUGAUCACUGAAGAGAGUCGUACAUUA
ensembl:snoRNA